rnacentral:rRNA from 1 species
UACAGAGGUGGCAAGCGUUGUUCGGAAUUACUGGGCGUAAAGGGCGCGUAGGCGGUCUUGUCAGUCCCUUGUGAAAUCCCCGGGCUCAACCCGGGGAACUGCGUCCGAUACUGGCAGGCUUGAAUCCGGGAGAGGGAUGCGGAAUUCCAGGUGUAGCGGUGAAAUGCGUAGAUAUCUGGAGGAACACCGGUGGCGAAGGCGGCAUCCUGGACCGGUAUUGACGCUGAGGCGCGAAAGCCAGGGGAGCAAAGCGGG